UUGCCCUACGGGACGCAGCAGUGGGGAAUAUUGCGCAAUGGGCGAAAGCCUGACGCAGCGACGCCGCGUGGGUGAAGAAGCGCCUCGGCGCGUAAAGCCCUGUCAGCAGGGAAGAAAAUGACGGUACCUGAAGAAGAAGCCCCGGCUAACUACGUGCCAGCAGCCGCGGUAAUACGUAGGGGGCGAGCGUUAUCCGGAUUCACUGGGUGUAAAGGGAGCGUAGACGGCCAAGCAAGCCAGGGGUGAAAGCCCGGGGCCCAACCCCGGGACUGCCCUUGGAACUGCAUGGCUGGAGUGCGGGAGGG
rnacentral:rRNA from 1 species